rnacentral:rRNA from 1 species
GACGUAGGGCGCGAGCGUUGUCCGGAUUUAUUGGGCGUAAAGAGCUCGUAGGCGGCUUGUCGCGUCGUCCGUGAAAACUUGGGGCUCAACCCCAAGCUUGCGGUCGAUACGGGCAGGCUAGAGUUCGGUAGGGGAGACUGGAAUUCCUGGUGUAGCGGUGAAAUGCGCAGAUAUCAGGAAGAACACCCGUGGCGAAGGCGGUUCUCUGGGACGGUACUGACGCUGAGACGCGAAAGCGUGGGGAGUGAACAGG